rnacentral:rRNA from 1 species
UUAGAGUUUGAUCCUGGCUCAGGAUGAACGCUGGCGGCGUGCCUAACACAUGCAAGUCGAACGGGUGUACAGAAGGGAAGAUUUCGGUCGGAAGAUCUGUGCAUGAGUGGCGGACGGGUGAGUAACGCGUGGGCAACCUGGCCUGUACAGGGGGAUAACACUUAGAAAUAGGUGCUAAUACCGCAUAACGGGAGAAGCCGCAUGGCUUUUUCCUGAAAACUCCGGUGGUACAGGAUGGGCCCGCGUCUGAUUAGCCAGUUGGCAGGGUAACGGCCUACCAAAGCGACGAUCAGUAGCCGGCCUGAGAGGGCGGACGGCCACACUGGGACUGAGACACGGCCCAGACUCCUACGGGAGGCAGCAGUGGGGGAUAUUGCACAAUGGGGGAAACCCUGAUGCAGCGACGCCGCGUGGGUGAAGAAGCGCCUCGGCGCGUAAAGCCCUGUCAGCAGGGAAGAAAAUGACGGUACCUGAAGAAGAAGCCCCGGCUAACUACGUGCCAGCAGCCGCGGUAAUACGUAGGGGGCAAGCGUUAUCCGGAUUUACUGGGUGUAAAGGGGGCGCAGACGGCGAUGCAAGCCAGGAGUGAAAGCCCGGGGCCCAACCCCGGGACUGCUCUUGGAACUGCGUGGCUAGAGUGCAGGAGGGGCAGGCGGAAUUCCUGGUGUAGCGGUGAAAUGCGUAGAUAUCAGGAGGAACACCGGUGGCGAAGGCGGCCUGCUGGACUGCAACUGACGUUGAAGCCCGAAA